AAUGAACGCUGGCGGCAUGCCUUACACAUGCAAGUCGAACGGCAGCAUGACCUCGCUUGCUAGGUUGAUGGCGAGUGGCGAACGGGUGAGUCAUGCAUCGGAACGUGCCUUUUAGUGGGGGAUAACGUAGCGAAAGUUACGCUAAUACCGCAUAUUCUCUGAGGAGGAAAGCAGGGGACCUUCGGGCCUUGCGCUAGAAGAGCGGCCGAUGUCGGAUUAGCUAGUUGGUGAGGUAAAGGCUCACCAAGGCAACGAUCCGUAGCGGGUCUGAGAGGAUGAUCCGCCACACUGGGACUGAGACACGGCCCAGACUCCUACGGGAGGCAGCAGUGGGGAAUUUUGGACAAUGGGCGCAAGCCUGAUCCAGCCAUGCCGCGUGAGUGAAGAAGGCCUUCGGGUUGUAAAGCUCUUUCGGCUGGGAAGAAAUCGCACCCUCUAAUACAGGGUGUGGAUGACGGUACCAGCAGAAGAAGCACCGGCUAACUACGUG
rnacentral:rRNA from 1 species